UACGAAGGGGGCUAGCGUUGCUCGGAAUUACUGGGCGUAAAGGGCGCGUAGGUGGCCAACUAAGUCAGACGUGAAAUCCCUCGGCUUAACCGGGGAACUGCGUCUGAUACUGGAUGGCUUGAGUUUGGGAGAGGGACGCGGAAUUCCAGGUGUAGCGGUGAAAUGCGUAGAUAUCUGGAGGAACACCGGUGGCGAAGGCGGCGUCCUGGACCAAUACUGACGCUGAGGUGCGAAAGCGUGGGGAGCAAACAGG
rnacentral:rRNA from 1 species